UACAGAGGUCUCAAGCGUUGUUCGGAAUCACUGGGCGUAAAGGGCGCGUAGGCGGCCUGAUAAGUAGGGGGUGAAAUCCUGCGGCUUAACCGCAGGGCUGCCUUCUAAACUGUCAGGCUCGAGCACAGUAGAGGCAGGUGGAAUUCCCGGUGUAGCGGUGGAAUGCGUAGAGAUCGGGAAGAACAUCAGUGGCGAAGGCGGCCUGCUGGGCUGUUGCUGACGCUGAGGCGCGACAGCGUGGGGAGCAAACAGG
rnacentral:rRNA from 1 species